AUUGUUCUCGUUAAAGUGAAGUGGAACCAUCACGGGAUGGAAGAGGCCACAUGGGAACUUGAAGAUUCAAUGAAAGUCAAGUAUCCUGAGCUAGAUUACCAAGGUAUGUAAUUUCGGGGACGAAAUUUUCUUUAAGGAGGGAGGGAUGUAAUACCCCGUUUCCUCGAGCUAAGUUAGAAUACUUUGAACUUAGAUUAAGAUGAUUCGCGCCGGAAAAAGAAAAAAA
rnacentral:lncRNA from 1 species